rnacentral:misc_RNA from 1 species
GAAAUGCGAUAAGUAAUGUGAAUUGCAGAAUUCAAUGAAUCAUCGAAUCUUUGAACGCACCUUGCGCUCCUUGGUAUUCCUUGGAGCAUGCCUGUUUGAGUAUCAUGAAAUCUUCAAAGUAAAUCUUUUGUUAACUCAAUUGGUUUCUACUUUGGUAUUGGAGGUCUUUGCAGCUUCACACCUGCUCCUCUUUGUUCAUUAGCUGGAUCUCAGUGUUAUGCUUGGUUCCACUCGGAGUGAUAAGUUAUCUAUCGCUGAGGACACUGUAAAAGGUGGCCAAGGUAAAUGCAGAUGAACCGCUUCUAAUAGUCCAUUGACUUGGACAAUACUUUUAUGAUCUGAUCUCAAAUCAGGUAGGACUACCCGCUGAACUUAAGC